rnacentral:rRNA from 1 species
AGCGAACGCUGGCGGCAGGCUUAACACAUGCAAGUCGAGCGGGCGUAGCAAUACGUCAGCGGCAGACGGGUGAGUAACGCGUGGGAACGUACCUUUUGGUUCGGAACAACCCAGGGAAACUUGGGCUAAUACCGGAUAAGCCCUUACGGGGAAAGAUUUAUCGCCGAAAGAUCGGCCCGCGUCUGAUUAGCUAGUUGGUGAGGUAACGGCUCACCAAGGCAACGAUCAGUAACUGGUCUGAGAGGAUGAUCAGUCACACGGGCACUGAGACACGGGCCCGACUCCUACGGGAGGCAGCAGUAGGGAAUAUUGGACAAUGGGCGCAAGCCUGAUCCAGCCAUCCCGCGUGAAGGAUUAAGGCCCUCUGGGUUGUAAACUUCUUUCUCUGGGAAUAAAAAGUGGGAUUCAUCCCGCCUUGAA